rnacentral:rRNA from 1 species
UACGUAGGGCGCGAGCGUUGUCCGGAAUUAUUGGGCGUAAAGAGCUCGUAGGUGGCUUGUUGCGUCUGCCGUGAAAGCCCGUGGCUUAACUACGGGUCUGCGGUGGAUACGGGCAGGCUAGAGGCUGGUAGGGGCAAGCGGAAUUCCUGGUGUAGCGGUGAAAUGCGCAGAUAUCAGGAGGAACACCGGUGGCGAAGGCGCCUUGCUGGGCCAGUUCUGACGCUGAGGAGCGAAAGCGCGGGGAGCGAACAGG